GACGGAGGGGGCUAGCGUUGUUCGGAAUUACUGGGCGUAAAGAGCGCGUAGGCGGACUAGUAAGUUGGAAGUGAAAGCCCAAGGCUUAACCUUGGAACUGCUUUCAAAACUGCUAGUCUUGAGUGAAGUAGGGGGUGAUGGAAUUCCUAGUGUAGAGGUGAAAUUCUUAGAUAUUAGGAGGAACACCGAUGGCGAAGGCAGUCACCUGGGCUUCAACUGACGCUGAUGCGCGAAAGCGUGGGGAGCAAACAGG
rnacentral:rRNA from 1 species